rnacentral:rRNA from 1 species
AUUGAACGCUGGCGGCAGGCCUAACACAUGCAAGUCGAACGGUAGCACAGAGAGCUUGCUCUCGGGUGACGAGUGGCGGACGGGUGAGUAACGUCUGGGAAACUGCCCGAUGGAGGGGGAUAACUACUGGAAACGGUAGCUAAUACCGCAUAACGUCGCAAGACCAAAGUGGGGGACCUUCGGGCCUCACACCAUCGGAUGUGCCCAGAUGGGAUUAGCUAGUAGGUGGGGUAAUGGCUCACAUAGGCGACGAUCCCUAGCUGGUCGGAGUGGAGGGCCAGCCACACUGGAACUGGGACACAGUCCAGACUCCUACGGGAGUCAGCAGUGGGGAAUAUUGCACAAUGGGCGCAAGCCUGAUGCAGCCAUGCCGCGUGUAUGAAGAAGGCCUUCGGGUUGUAAAGUACUUUCAGCGGGGAGGAAGGCGGUGAAGUUAAUAACUUCACCGAUUGACGUUACCCGCAGAAGAAGCACCGGCUAACUCCGUGCCAGCCGCCGCGGUAA